rnacentral:rRNA from 1 species
GUGGGGAAUCUUGCGCAAUGGGCGAAAGCCUGACGCAGCCAUGCCGCGUGAAUGAUGAAGGUCUUAGGAUUGUAAAAUUCUUUCACCGGGGACGAUAAUGACGGUACCCGGAGAAGAAGCUCCGGCUAACUUCGUGCCAGCAGCCGCGGUAAUACGAAGGGGGCUAGCGUUGCUCGGAAUUACUGGGCGUAAAGGGCGCGUAGGCGGACAGCUUAGUCAGAGGUGAAAGCCCAGGGCUCAACCUUGGAAUUGCCUUUGAUACUGGCUGUCUUGAGUUUGGGAGAGGUGAGUGGAACUCCGAGUGUAGAGGUGAAAUUCGUAGAUAUUCGGAAGAACACCAGUGGCGAAGGCGACUCACUGGCCCAAUACUGACGCUGAGGCGCGAAAGCGUGGGGAGCAAACAGGAUUAGAAACCCUGUAGUCC